GGAGACAGCUCAGUGGUAGAGUGCCUGCCUAGCAUGCACAAGGUCCUGAGUUCAAUCCCCAGUGCCUCCA
rnacentral:tRNA from 1 species